rnacentral:rRNA from 1 species
CAGUCGCCGCGGUAAUACGUAGGUCCCGAGCGUUGUCCGGAUUUAUUGGGCGUAAAGGGAGCGCAGGCGGUUUAGUAAGUCUGAAGUUAAAGGCAUUGGCUCAACCAAUGUAUGCUUUGGAAACUGUUAGACUUGAGUGCAGAAGGGGAGAGUGGAAUUCCAUGUGUAGCGGUGAAAUGCGUAGAUAUAUGGAGGAACACCAGUGGCGAGAGCGGCUCUCUGGUCUGUCACUGACGCUGAGGCUCGAAAGCGUGGGUAGCAAACAGGAUUAGAGACCCCCGUAGUCCCUGUCUCUUAUACA